rnacentral:rRNA from 1 species
UGGGGAAUAUUGGGACAAUGGGCGCAAGCCUGAUCCAGCAAUGCCGCGUGUGUGAAGAAGGCCUUCGGGUUGUAAAGCACUUUUAUCAGGAGCGAAACGCUGUCCGGCUAAUACCCGGCGGAACUGACGGUACCUGAGGAAUAAGCACCGGCUAACUUCGUGCCAGCAGCCGCGGUAAUACGAAGGGUGCAAGCGUUAAUCGGAAUUACUGGGCGUAAAGCGUGCGUAGGCGGUUUUCUUAAGUCUGCUGUGAAAUCCCCGGGCUCAACCUGGGAAUGGCAGUGGAUACUGGGAGGCUAGAGUGUGUCAGAGGGUGGUGGAAUUCCCGGUGUAGCGGUGAAGUGCGUAGAGAUCGGGAGGAACAUCAGUGGCGAAGGCGGCCACCUGGGACAACACUGACGCUGAGGCACGAAAGCGUGGGGAGCAAACAGGAUUAGAUACCCUGGUAGUCCACGCCCUAAAACGAUGCGAACUGGAUGUUGGUCUCAACUCGGAGAUCAGUGUCGAAGCUAACGCGUUAAGUUCGCCGCCUGGGGAGUACGGUCGCAAGACUGAAACUUAAAUGAAUUG